AUAGUAAGACAAGAGGCUGUCACAACGACAGCAAACCGGAUUUAUUAACAUUUAUUUGUGUCCUGGCAAUAUCACAAGAACCAUUACUGAUGAAUGGUGAAAGUGAAAAUCGUCAAUAUCAAAUUUGACCUCCAUUUUGUCAUCAGUAUCAACAUAUUAAAAUUUGAAAAGCUUAGAUUGAAUGGUUCAUGAGUAAAUGCAACAACUUGAAUGGAAACGCCAUUUUACAAUCUUUCAAGAACCAUAACUCCUGAACGGUAAAAGUCAAAAUCGUCAUUAUUGAACUUGACCUCUAUUUUGUCAUCAGUAACAACAUAUUAAAAUUUCAAAAGCUUUGGUUG
rnacentral:lncRNA from 1 species